rnacentral:rRNA from 1 species
UACGUAGGAGACGAGCGUUGUCCGGAAUUACUGGGCGUAAAGCGCGUGUAGGCGGAUGAGCAAGUCUGCUGUGAAAGCUCCUGGCUUAACCGGGAGUGGUCGGUGGAAACUGCUCGUCUGGAGGACGGUAGAGGUAGGUAGAAUUCCCGGUGUAGUGGUGAAAUGCGUAGAGAUCGGGAGGAAUACCUGUGGCGAAGGCGGCCUACUGGGCCGUUGCUGACGCUGAGGCGCGACAGCGUGGGGAGCAAACAGG